GAGGAAUAUUGGGCAAUGCCCGUAAGGGUGACCCAGCAACGCCGCGUGGAGGAUGAAUGCCGUAAGGUUGUAAACUCCUGUGAGAAGGGACGAAAAAGUGGAUUUAAUCCAAAUUGACUGUACCUUCAGAGGAAACCCCGGCUAACUACGUGCCAGCAGCCGCGGUAAUACGUAGGGGGUUAGCGUUGUCCGGAUUUACUGGGUGUAAAGGGCGCGUAGGCGGGUUUGUUAGUCAGAGGUGAAAUCUCCCGGCUUAACCGGGAAACUGCCUUUGAUACUGCAAAUCUUGAGUUCAGAAGAGAGAGAUGGAAUUCCAGGUGUAGUGGUGAAAUACGUAGAUAUCUGGAAGAACACCAGUGGCGAAGGCGAUCUCUUGGUCUGAUACUGACGCUGAGGCGCGAAAGCGUGGGUAGCAAAC
rnacentral:rRNA from 1 species